GACGAACGCUGGCGGCGUGCCUAAUACAUGCAAGUAGAACGCUGAAGCGAGGAGCUUGCUCUUCUUGGGUGAGUCGCGAACGGGUGAGUAACGCGUAGGUAACCUGCCUUGUAGCGGGGGAUAACUAUUGGAAACGAUAGCUAAUACCGCAUAACAAUGGAUGACACAUGUCAUUUAUUUGAAAGGGGCAAUUGCUCCACUACAAGAUGGACCUGCGUGUAUUAGCUAGUAGGUUAGGUAACGGCUCACCUAGGCGACGGUACAUAGCCGACCUGAGAGGGUGGUCGGCCAGACUGGGAAGGGGACACGGCCCAGACUGCAACGGGAGGCGGCAGAAGGGAAUCUUGGGGGAAGGGGGGAACACUAACCGAGAAAGGCCGCGAGAGUGAAGAAGGAUUUCGGAUCGUGAAGCUCUGUUGUAAGGGAAGAAAGAGUGUGAGAGUGGAAAGUUCACACUGGGACGGUAACUUACCAGAAAGGGACGGCUAACUACGUG
rnacentral:rRNA from 1 species